UGCCGUCUGAAUCUUGACACGUUAAUUUCAACCAAAACUGCGCGUACGCCAUGUCACGGCUCACAGAAGUGUCUCCGCGCCGUGGGUAUGCCUGGGACUGGAAUGGCCCAAAAUGAAGUGACC